rnacentral:rRNA from 1 species
GAUGAACGCUGGCGGCGUGCUUAACACAUGCAAGUCGAACGGUGAAGCAGAGCUUGCUCUGUGGUUCAGUGGCGAACGGGUGAGUAACACGUGAGCAAUCUGCCCCUGACUCUGGGAUAAGCGCUGGAAACGGCGUCUAAUACCGGAUAUGAGCUGUGCAGGCAUCUUCAGCCGUUGGAAAGAUUUUUCGGGUAGGGAGGAGCUCGCGGCCUAUCAGCUUGGUGGUGAGGUAAUGGCUCGCCAAGGCGUCGACGAGUAGCCGGCCUGAGAGGGUGACCGGCCACACUGGGACUGAGACACGGCCCAGACGCCUACGGGAGGAAGCAGUGGGGAAUAUUGCACAAUGGGCGGAAGCCUGAUGCAGCAACGCCGCGUGAGGGAUGACGGCCUUCGGGUUGUAAACCUCUUUUAGCAGGGAAGAAGCGAAAGUGACGGUACCUGCAGAAAAAGCACCGGCUAACUACGUGCCAGCCGCCGCGGUAAAAC